rnacentral:rRNA from 1 species
AGCAGCCGCGGUAAUUCCAGCUCCAAUAGCGUAUAUUAAAGUUGCUGCAGUUAAAAAGCUCGUAGUUGAAUUUCGGGACUAAUAUGUCGGUCGUGCCUCGGUACGCACUGGCUUAUUGGUUUCUCCUUUCUGAAGAACCAUGAUGUCAUUAAUUUGGUGUCUUGGGGAAUCAGGACUGUUACUUUGAAAAAAUUAGAGUGUUUAAAGCAGGCUCACGCUUGAAUACAUUAGCAUGGAAUAAUGAAAUAGGACGUUUGAUUCUAUUUUGUUGGUUUCUAGGAUCGACGUAAUGAUUAAUAGGGAUAGUUGGGGGCAUUAGUAUUCAAUUGUCAGAGGUGAAAUUCUUGGAUUUAUUGAAGACUAACUACUGCGAAAGCAUUUGCCAAGGAUGUUUUCAUUAAUCAAGAACGAAAGUUAGGGGAUCGAAGACGAUCAGAUACCGUCGUAGUC